CUUCCCUAAUGCCUUCUUUAGAAUGGACUUUCAAGGCGAAGUGAGAGCAGUAACUGUAAUAAUCACCUCUUCUUUUCUUUUGCUGUCAAAAGGCAGGGGGGUUGUUAAAACUAAUCAAGAACCAGGACCACACUGCAAAAAAUAAGUGCCCUAAAAGACAAGUGGAGGAACCUGAAACCAUUUUCCAGAAGUCCUCCUCACAGCUGCCAAAUCUCAUCGAUGUUUCUGUUGGUUUUGGUUUUCUUGGGAGUGGUUCUGAGACAUCCCAGCUGAGAAGCAAAGUCCUUUUCACCAACGCAUGCUGUCGGGUUGCUGAUGACUUUGGCUGCAAGGCAGCUUUGAUCAGGACCUCUACACUGGGUGAGGACAGGAGGAAACGAAGCCAUCCAGAGGCAUGAGUGAUGAGAACCCAGGGCCAUCUUGAGGCUCCCCAACAAGGCCUCAGUACUGAGUUUUGCUGCCCAUGGGAUGAGGAGAGGGGGCCAAACUGAUGCUUCACAGCUUCUGCCAGGAGAUGGAGAGCUGAGAAAACACCCCCACAAAGUCAAGCCACUGAUUCAUAGCGAAAGAAGAUGGUCCCAAACCAAGUGAGACACUGUACACCAAAACUGUUAAUCUUACCUGGUGUGGCAGUACAUUGCAUCAGACAAGAGCAGAAAGGUAACCUCCAGACUAUCUUCAAGGACUAUGAGUAUUUGUUGGAGAACGGUAUUUUCCAGUCUUAACUGAAAUGAAUUUGUGUGCUCAACAAUCAGUAGAAAUGAAGAAAGAAACACAGACAUACGAAGAGAAAGUAUGAAUUUCUUUGUUAAAAAAAAGAAAAAAAACCAGACAAUAUUAAAUAACAUUUGGGGUUUGACAUGGAAAACACUGCAAUAGUUCCUGGGGGUAGCAGGGAGAAAUUAGGAAAGGUCACUGAAUGUGAUCUCCUUGAAACCUCAGAGAAGAACAGACAUGGAGAUACAACAGCAUACAAAGCAGUAAGAGCCUACAAGACAGUAAAACAGAUGAGUGAACACAGUAGAAGCAAAUGAAGCACAGGACACCCCUUCUACUGGGUUAAUGGUCUAUUAUUUAUCACCAGAGAUUGGUGGAUCUAAAACAUUUUUUCUUCUCUUCAUCCUGAGUCAGAACUCAGCUGCUGAUUCAGCACUUGUUUGCUGUUGGGAAGAACUUCAAGUCUCAACCAAGUCUCGUAAAACAACGUGGCUCCAGUAAAUCAUACUGCCUUUUUGUGGAUGUUGAAGGUCAAUAGAACGACCUUCCUGAAAAUCCAGAGAGGUAGGAGUGCUCUCACUUUAUAACUACUUCAGCAAGCCCAGGCCCCACAGUUCACCUGCAUCUUACAGCCAUCGACAUGGGCAGUUACACAGAGCGGCGACAGCUCCUGCCCUCCCUGCUGCUGGAACAGAGCCCCUCCAGUCUGUUUUUGAGCAUGUUAUGACCACUCGAUCGAGCCAUCAUUUGAUCACACACCACUGGCUUCAGUAACCAGGCUCUGGCCUCACUUUCUUUCUGCCAAUGAAGAGGAUCCUGUCGCAGUGUUACUCUGCCGUGUGCAGCUUUGGAGGAAGGAGAAGGUGUAAAGGGAAGAAGGAUAUCUUGAGGUUUGCUGUUUGGAGCUGGCUCUGUGUUGUAUUUCACUAUGUAAGCAAACAUAUGCACAGUUUUCUCUUCAGGUUUUCAGGCAGAGCAGUUCAACAGGCAAUUUCCUGUACUAAGUGGCGUUAUAAUUAGGAUUGCCACUGGAAUGAAACCCAGUGCUCCCAUAUUAUUAUAUUAUACCAUGUUAGCAUUUAAUUGUUACAUCUGAGAGACAUACGCCCACAUUUUGAGUGGCUAACUUCUCAUAUCCUGCUUUUUUACAUCAUGGCUUUAAAUUCCCUUUAUUAUUCCUCUGUAAAUGUAUCUGUUCACAUGUGUAUUGGUAGAGAACAGUAAACAGCAAAUCAUGACAGUC